UGAGUAACCUGCCCUUCACUCUGGGAUAACUCCGGGAAACCGGGGCUAAUACUGGAUAUGACUCGAACAGGCAUCUGUUUCGGGUGGAAAGAUUUAUUGGUGGAGGAUGGACUCGCGGCCUAUCAGCUUGUUGGUGAGGUAAUGGCUCACCAAGGCGACGACGGGUAGCCGGCCUGAGGAGGGCGAUCGGCCACGACCCGGGGACUGAGACCACCGGCCCAGACCUCCGUACGGGGAGGCA
rnacentral:rRNA from 1 species